rnacentral:rRNA from 1 species
UACGUUCCCGGGCCUUGUACACACCGCCCGUCAAGUCAUGAAAGUCGGUAACACCCGAAGCCGGUGGUCUAACCGUAAGGAAGGAGCCGUCGAAGGUGGGAUUGGUGAUUAGGACU